GAAACGAGCCUGCACACACACGUGGAGAUGAGGGAGCGCACACAGGAGCAGCAGUAGUAACAGCUGCAUAAGUCUUUGGGUGAGUGCACAUCUGUUAGACUGGCUUAGUACGGUGAAACUGGCUGUUGACAGCAAAUGUUUUCACUAAAGCUCACAUUGUGAGUUAUGUAUAUGGAGGGAAAAAAAGGACAAAUUAAUAUAGCUACUCCUUCUCCUCUGUCUCUGUCUUACUUUGUCUCUCGUACCAACUCUCUCUCUCUCUCUAUCUCUCCCUCUCUGUCUGGCUUUCCUUUCAUCCGAAGCCUGUUGGAGGUGCUCUGGUCACCAAGUUAAAUCAAUUUCAAGCAGUUGAAAUAUUUUCAGCCAUUUGAAAUAAAUGCUUCGCCCAGGUAUCUCUUUAAAAACCCCCAUUUCCACAGGGCAGACGGCAGGUCGAGGCCACAUAACUCCAACAAUCUAUCAUCUGCCACCUCGGUGUCGACUGUAAUAGCCUCUCUUCCUCCUAAUAUCAGAGUGAAUGGUCGCAGUGAUAGAAAGGCAUGUUUUUAUGUACCUAACCUGUGGAUAGAUGUGAUUGUAUGAUUGAUUUGAAACCCGGUGUUCCUUCCUGUGAGUCAGAGUAUUUGUGUGUAGGCAGCAAAUGAAAAAUACCGCCAUGUAGUGAUUGGAACAAAACGAUCUGACCCUCAACCUCCCAAUCUUUUUAAGCGUGUUUCAAUUCAGAGGUAGCUUUCAGUGCAUUGACAUUCAAUAGUAUGAUUACUCAGAAGCAGCAUGGUGUGUGUGUGUGAGUGAGUGAGUGAGUGAGUGAGCGAGUGUGUGUAGAUGACAGAUAUGUGUGGGUGUGGUUAAUGGGAAGGUGCAGAAGUUCUUCUUUGUGUGUCUGCGUGUGACAAUCACCUGUAGGCUGCUGGUUUCAGGGUGUUUGUGUUGAGGGCAUCAAACAGGCCUUUAGAGUGAGGUUGAGUGAACAGCGCGCACACACACACACACACACACGCACACAGAUACAUGCACACACACACACCCACGUAGCAGCCAAGUCCAAGCCAGAGCCGAGCCAAGACUCUGUGUUUAGAACAAGAAAAACACUUUGUUUACGCUUUAGGGCCCUUCACUGCUCAACCAGCGAAAGAGGGAAAUCAACUCAUCCCUGGUUCCCUAGCCACCGCCGCGUCGUCAACAGAUGAAGUCAGCAUCUCACACCCAACAGAUGGGGUGCAGAGAACAGCAGCCUACUUUACCAAAUGGACUUUUUUUUCCCCCCCUGCCUUCCAAUCUACUAAUCAAUGCUUGUCGUCUGCGAGAUAGCACCACGAGCUGCAGGCAGAAGGUUAGGAAGUCGCUGGUUGAGGCGAAAUGUGUGAUUACAUGAGGUGCGCGUCAGCGUUAAUCGCAGAUCUGCGCACACUGCGGUGUGUUUCCAGCCGGGUAGUGAGAAAAAUAUACAUCGUUUAUUGUUCAAAAGAAAAAAAAAUGUCUUUUAUUGGAAAUAAUCCUGCAGGGCUUGGUGGAAGUGCAUCUGUGGCAGGAGAUGUUUAAUAUCAGAUGCAGCUUAUUUGAAAUUGUCUUGCUUUGGUGAGAUCAGAGCAUCCAGAUGAUAAGGACACGCCCACCUAAACGCCCUCGAUCAGAUGAACAAACAACUCUCGCUCCAGAGGAAAAACACACACACAAUCUAUUUAUUUAUUUUUUAUCAUUUAUCCUUUAAGUCUUCUGGUGUUUUGUCUGUAUAAUUCCUUUAUUCUUCACACCCAAAUCAAGUGCCUCUGUGCGCGGCAGAUAAAUAGGAAUUCCAAACUCCAAUGGUUCAUUUGUCAUGGUGUGAAUUCCAAGAGUGGAAUCUAGAAAUAGCUCGAGUGUUCAAGCGCGGUUGUUGCCUGGGGCUUGGUGGCAUGUAGGAGGCUUUGGUGAUAUUUGCUUUUUGCAUAUUUUCUACUAGGGGGCUUUUUUGGAAGGGAGAUAUGCACUUUUCCCAUUGCAAACAUUGCAGAAAAAAAAAAAAAACACACACACAUAGAAAAGAUUUUUUUGUGUGUGUUCUGAGCUGCACGUUGUAGGAGGCUUUGCCCAUUAUUUUGGUAUGACAUUACAGUUUUAAUUGAAUUGAAUGCAAUUUAUUCUUAAGAAAACUUUUAAUUAAGUGCCAUAUGGACAGAUUGUGGAGUAGUGGCCUCCAUGAUAUUCCCUUGGGGACAUUUGCUGCAUAAUUAAGAAUAUGAACUGUAAUGACACAGUGAGAUUUAAUGGAAACUUGCAGUCUAAAUAGGCGACGUCGGAGAGCCAUUAUUACCCAGCUAGAAAGGGCUUAGUCGGGUUCUCAAGGGACACCGGGGUCCCUAGAGUGGAACCCUGGGAAUAAAACCUCUAGAGAGCAAGAUGAGAAGGAAGGAAGGAGGUAAGGUAGGAAGGAAGGAGUUAAGGAAAGCUCUUCCUUGACUGUGCUGUUCGCCUUAUAUUAAAAGGUUGUUUUAAUUGUUUUCUUCAGGUAUCACAGAUGGUUAAAUCAGUGUGAUGCUCCCACCCAUCCUCUCGCUGCCUGUGACCCCUGAUCUCAACACAAGGACAUCUUUAAAACCAGAUUUUGUUUUUAAACUCCGAAACAAUCCAAAAUAAAAUUGCAGCUACCCACAAAGGCAAUGAUUCCCCUAUUCAGUAUUCAGGCUCUUGUUUUUCUAAUCUUCCUGUCACCAUUGUGCAGAACUUGAGCCCGUUUGAUCGGGUUGGGGCUGAUGUUCAGAGUCUGGAACCAAGCUAACACUACUAUUUAGUCUUGGGUUACAAGUGACGAUUGACACAAUUGAGAGUGGGUCACAAUUGCACUCUGACUGUCACUGUCACUGAGUAAAUGGACUGAAAAUUUGCUGGUUUUUUAAGGCCCUUUUCUCUUCUCUUCUCACAGUCACACCACAUUCAUACCCUGACGGCAGAGGCUGCUAUGUAAAGCCCAUUAGUAUUAACCAAUCCCAUUCACACAACUUUGGCACAGGCAUCAGGGCCAGUUUUGGGGCAAGGACACUAAAGCUUGUGGACCAUGAGACCUGGAAGAUGACUGACUUGACCACUAAUCCACAGUCUUCCUUGGGGGGGUCUUAAAACAGGAACAAAAGGAUGUGAUUACAAAGUAUUUAAUUAGCUUGAGCUAUUUCAGUUUGUCGUGGCAGGACAAUGGCGAGGACUACCAGUAGAUUUCUCAAACAGAGAAAAAAAGAGUUUUUCCCAGUGACAGGAGUCUUAGCCUUGAAAAUGUGAUUAUCCUUCGGUAGAAAAAGUCUCUUACCAACAAACCGCAGAGGCCGCAGCCUCACGGCCUCUCGCACUCACCAACAGGUGGCUUCAGCUGGGGCUCAGGACAACAACCCCUCAUGGAGACGAAGACCAUCGACUUCUUUCACGUUUUAUAAAAGUUCAGAGAAAACACAGAAUCGCCUCGAGAAACUCUGUCACGAGAAAUCAGAGAAUAAGACAUGCAUGCAACCACAGAUAUACUGAAAACUAGAUACGCUAAAUGACGUGUCUAUGUGGUAGCCAUCUUAGCGGGGGCAACGUUCCUUUCAAGGCGAUGCAUACAUUGAAAAUAAUGCAUAACUUCUUAAUUUCUCAACCGAUUUUCAUGCUGUUUACUUUAUAUUCAACGCCAAAACAUGUAGGCCGCUAUUAAUGCAGAACGUUUUAAUAAACAUUUGUUUUUUUAUUGUUUAAAUCAAAUAUUCUGUAUUAAUAGCGCAUGCUUCAAAAGAAACGACAACCCCCACUAGCUUAACCUCGCUGUAGGCACGCGGCUCAAAGACGCAUGUCGUAUCUACGUAUCAAUAUCUGUGAUGUCAACAAACACAAAACGGAAGACGGUCUAUGAAGGUUAAGAAAAAGGUCUUUUGUGUUGUGAGCACGGAAACGUCUUGGCGUCUUCAUAUUUAUUCAUUACUGAUACUUCAACAAUUAGCGUGAAACAUCCACAAAAAACAGACAAAAGUUUUUCUUUUGGCGUUUUCAUGAACAUAAAAGCUUCCUGUAAUUUCAGCUACUUUUCAUUUCUAGUAAAUAGUCGACAAUGAGACUACAAUGCCCCACAACGAAGUCUUCAGAUAAUAAGUUCGGACAGGACAUCAGGAAGAGGCGGCUUAAGCCAAGGUAGACUGUUGGCAGUUAACAACACUCAAAAAUAUUCCUCUUUUGUUGGCGGUUGGUAAGAAUGACGAAAACAAAGGAAGGAACGACGAAUAAAGCAAAGUUGUAAAAAGCCAAGUAGCAGCAAAGAAUGUGAAAAUGAGAGAAAAGAGAAAGAGGGAAAGAAGAUGAAGAAGAAAGAUUGUAAAAGAGGGCGCUGAGGGAGCCAAGGAGAGGGUAAAUAUGGAGGCCAGAUAACAAAAAAACAAAGGCAAAGGGAAGAAAAUCAAAAAGUGUGUAUGUGAAAGGUAGAGAGAAAUGAAAGGAAGGAAAGACACAGUUAGUCGCCUGCAGAACAGAACAAACUCAUUUACAGAGCAGUGCCAGACUUGAAAACAAUUAUCUGCCAUCUCCGUUGCCUCUGUAGAAGAGUAGCCCGUUUUGUGGGGCUCUUUGUUUUUCUCAAGGACAUAUUCAUUAUUUCAGAUGAGACCCAUUUGAGUCUAAAUAAAGACUUUCUCUCCUCUCUGUCAGAUUCACUGGUGCUGUGAUGUUGCAUCUGAGGGGAUGUGAAAACACGUUUGAAAAGAAGUCUGAUGAAAGCACUUCUAUGCCACUAAUGCAUGUUCAUUAAGUUCAAAUUCUCUUUUAUUUCCACCUCUCUUUUCACAUUUGAGUUCGGGUGCUAAUAUUUGUGUUUUUGUGUUUUUCUGUGUUCACGCGGUGCACAAGUUCUCCUGGAAAACUGAGCGUUCGAGCAAUCGGUGACAUCUUUUUCUUUCGUUGGCCGCCCACGACAAUGGUCUUCCGUCCAAAUGUCUCUUUGAAAGCAGGCCGCAUCUUCUCCGGUGCAUGCAUGGAAAAAGGAGAGGAGAGGCUGGCGCUAAUCACAUCCAGACAAAAGACACCUCUGACAAACAGUAAACAAGGAGCCAGAAGUAUUUUAUGACUCACAGAGAAGACACAGAGAGUGUUAUUUCUCUCUGGAUGGGGAAGAUUUUGACAUGGCAAAGAAAUAAUUUGCUGUUGUGUUGAGACUCCUCGUUUCCCUCUUAGGGUCACGACAGCAAACACAGAUGGAAUCAAACCGACACGAGGGGACGGAGUGGAAAAAUAACCCGGUAGGUUUCAGGUCCCAUCUUACCUGCUCAGGAGGUUGACUAAAAGACCUCUGUGUGUGUGGAAUUGAAAAUGGAGGGUACGGAGAUAAACAAACAAACAUACAGGCAUACACAUGUAAACACAACACACUUCAAAUGGCCUUCGAGAGCGCCGCAUUCCACAUUUAAUUGGAAGGCAAAAAAAAAUCCGCCGAAGAGCACCCUCCAAAGUAAACUUCUCACAGUGGCGAGCCAGCCAAUCGCGAGGGGAGGCAAGGUCUCCGGGGCCCCGCCCUCCGAAAAUAGGCACAGAUAACCUAUUGUUGGAGCGUGAACAGUGGUCACACACAUGCACACAAACAAAAAUGACCUCACGUAUGGUGUUCGAGUUUGGAAACCGCUGCAGACAUAUUUUAUGGAAAACUGGAUCUGAAUGUUUUCGCAGACUUUGAAUCCCCACAAGUGUGUGAAGGGAAGACAGACACCCAGUGAGAGGGUGGAAAAGAAAUGACAUCUUUGAGAAAUGUAACACCAGAUUUCACCAAGAUGUAUUUCCUCCUCCCUUCACAGAAACCUCUUCAAUAACAAAUCUAUCUUCUUUAAUCUAUACUUAUUUGGAUGUGACAUUUAAAGGUCUCCAGCCUAUGAGACAAAAUGUGAAACUCUGAUCUAAAAUUUUGUCAAAGUAAAAACAAAAGGUUUGAGUCUUACAUUUAUGAGCAGCAUUAUCAAAUUUGAAUAAUUAAAUUAACACUCUUUAAAAUGCAGGAAAGACGAACCAAACAAGCUGCUGCUGCAGUUAUUCUCUAAUAUUUCACAUAAUUUGGGGCGUUUAUUUUUCCUUUUUCUUUUUUUUUUUAAUUCUGGCACUGCCUUUUUUUUAUGAUGCACGAUUUAAACUCUCACGCUCUGAAAUAAAUAAAUGUGUCUGAACCCAAUCUGGAUUAAAACAUUAUAAUUGUAAGCAUUUAUCCCUGAAAAUCCACAGCUGAAUUUUUAAGAGGAUGUGAGCACUAGUUUUUAUUUAACACAAACACACACAGGGGGGACAUCUGUGCUGAACGCUGACCAAAUCCGUGGCGACUUUACUCACAAUACAAUUUUGUUGGAAGUGUUAGAAUUUGUUUCAAGUUGAUGGCACAGCCUCCAUUUUGAGUUGACUUUGAUAUCAUUCUGCGAACAGUGAAAUGUCUGGAUAAGUGUUGCGUUUAGGCCAGCCAUCUGUACCAUCUCCAACUCUAGAGCAGUUACAUGCAGAGUACCCUUGAAUUAGAGGGAGAGAGUCGUGGCUUUGUUUUAAACGGUUCACUGCUGGCAUCUACUGGAGGAUUUCAGCAAAGCCAGCGUUCAGGAAACUCUUCGAAAACCCUUUUACUCACUCUCUUCUUCUCUGGGUGGAUCUGUUUUAUUCCACAAAUGAGGGAAACACCUCCAAUCUGAUAAGAAACAAAUGAAAAUAUUUUAAACAUUCAUAAAGAAGUGUUAGCAUGAAUCCUGCAACAUGGACAUCUGAGCUGCACUUCAUGAAGUAGUAAAGAUCUGCUCAGGUGGAGCAGGUUUUUCAGAGAUUUUUGGACCACAUAUCCAAAAAGAAAUGUGGAAAUAAAGAAAUCAGAUUAGAUUUAUCUGAUUAAAAAAGGAUCUUACUUUUUACCUCAAAUUACACUAUUUGCUUAAAUCUGACACUUCUCCUCGGUUACAAAAGUGUUUAUCUAAGCCUUUAAAAAUCACUGAAAUUUUACACAUUUGCAAGGAUGAGGUUGAACAAAUUUUACAAAGAGAUCACAAAGUAGAAAUACUUGCUGAAUACCUAAAUACGCACGAGAAUAAUUAAAUUAAAACUUAAAAAAGGAUGUUUAGUAAUAAUUUUCCUGAUUUAUUCCUAAAAAGAUGGAACAAAUAAGAAAACUUUUAAUUGCAAGUUAUUCCUACAUCAUUUUAUUCAUGUUAUGCGAUUUACCUGCUGCAGUGAAAUCUCUGAAAAUAUGAAAGCAGAAAUCCACCAGCACGAGUUUAUAUAAGAGUGCUCUCUGUAUGUUUAUUUACCACCGCAUUAGCGAUAAACCAGCUGCUAUAAAUGCUUCUCUUUCUCAAGUCCGAGGCUUGUAAAUGUGUGUGCAGGCUUGACAGUGUGAAGUGCAAUAAAAACAGUGUUAAAAACAUGAAAAGACCUUAAUUAAUAACAUGCCAACAACAUGUUUUAAGUCGUGAGAAACUGUCAAAUAAGAUGAAUAAUUAUUGUCUGUCCAGCAGCUGAUCGAGUGCAGCCCUGACUGACAGAGCGCGAACGUCUCCUUCCUUCUCUUUCUUUUUGUUGAUGUGUUUGUUGCGUGUUCAUGUGCAACUUGGGAAAUGAGAGCGAAAAAAAAAAAAGAAGAAGGAAAAAAAAAAGCAGAAACAACCGGAGGAGAGCUUGUGGGGAGAGAGGAGCGCUGGAAAAGAUCUCCUGUGUGAAGGAAUGUGAUUACUGUGACUUCUUCGCUGAGCACAAUUCUCAUCUAAUUCUUGUAAUUGUUGCCUCAUAAUAUAACACAUUCAUAUCUGCAAAUGCAUUCAGCUCCCGCCUGUUAAGGACGCUGCAGAUUGAGUUAGAGAGUUCAUCCAUUACAAUAAAGAACAAAGCGCUCCCCUAUCUUUUUCAGAUAUUUCUCCCUUUAUGAUGCUGAGUAUGGCUCUGAGGUUGUCAGAGAAUUCAGGCAAACAAUGUAAUGCUUUGAGAUGUAUCAAGAGCUCCACAAUCAGAUCCUGUGUUGUUCACAAUGUUGAAAGGAUGGAGGGGAAGAUAGACUGAGACAGAGACAAACUCCAGACAAAAGGGAUUGUCUUGAUUAUUUGUCCGUCAGCGAUGUCAGGAGCGUAUUAUGAACGUCGAUGGCUUGGAGGAUAACAGUGAGCGAGAUUAGGGCCCUGCUGAGGAGGAGAAAAGAAAAAAGAGAAAGAGAGGGGGCGACGAAAAAGAGAGGAGGAAGAAGAAGAGUGAAGAGUGGAGAAUAGGGAUGUGACUAGACUAGAAGAGAGCUCUGUGAUAACUGCCAGCCAACAGCCUGUUUGAUCCUGAGGGAUGGCAGAGGGAUGUAAGGCGUUUGAAGCUGACAAUCCCUUUGUGAUGAUAACACAUGUUUUUCAGUGUGCGCGCUGAUCCCCCCUCUCCUAUUGUAUUAUGGGCAGCAGACGGCAGCUACCUUAAGGCCCAGUGCGGUUAUGAGCAGCUGUCGGCAUUGUGGGAAGUGCCGCUAAUCUGCUUCAGUAUCUUUAGCCCCUCGUUUAGCUCUUUGAUCCGCUCCCACUAUGCCUCCCUUCCCAUCACAACGCACGACUGAGCCUGGCAAAGCUGUGGAGGAAUGUUGGAGAGACGGCAGGAAAGAGAGAGAGAAGGGAAAACAUAUAAUGCUAACAUUUAUUAACAUGUGUUUUUUGUUUGUUUGUUUGUUUGUUUUUCCAUUUGUUUUUUGACUUCAUAGGAGUGUUAAAGCCCCAGUAAGGAACUUUUGGAUCGUAUCAGUCCUCAUUUGUUUUGUCCUCUAUGUGUCUUUUUUGGACGAUAAACCUCAUCUGUCCAACUUUUAACAGUCAAUACUUGAUGCAGAAAUUGGAAAAACAUGGCUACUCCCUCUGCGCACUGGCUUUAGGCAUUAAAAUUUGCAAUAAAAAAAGGCCAAUCUUGUCAUCGAUGGCCUUCUUUGGUUUUGUAUAUCAUAAAAAGAAGCAUAGCUAUGAAUUUCAGUUUAUUUCAUAAGUAUCCAAAAACUUCUCACAGGAGCUUUAAGUUUGUUCGUGGCCUUUGUUCAGAGACACAGGAUAUAAAAUAAGAUAAAAUAAGAUAAGAUAAGAUAGUCCCACAGGGAGAAAUUCCAAGUUUACGAGAAAUUAAAGGACAAAGAAACUUAGAGUUAAGUUAAGAAAAAAGAAAAAGAUAUGUACAUGACAUCAUUUGUCAUAUUUACAAAUGAUGAAUCUGAUAUGGUUUUGGUUGAGGCUAAUGUCCUUCUGUGAUACAGUGGUUAAAAAGUUGUGGGCAUACAUUGGUCAGAAGUCUUCGUACAGAAAUUUUAAAGCCUAAAGCAUAAAUGGAAAAAGUGUCUCCCAUAAAAUUAUGAUGACUUUACUGUAUUUGAGUGUCCAUGUGGUAGGGGUGGGAGAAAAAAAUCGAUACAGGAUAAUGUUGUGAUAUUUUGUCUGGUGAUAUAUCAUAUUGUCUCAUUUACUAAGUAUCGAUUUUUCAAAUGAAUUGUUAAUAUGAAGUCAAAUCUAUGGUAAUGGAAAAUAAAAAUCAACUGUUUGUCCAGUGAGGUUGGUAGAGGUGAAGUUAUAAAGCAGGAGAAAGUUAGUACAACAAAGAUAUAUAUAAAGUUUGUAAGAUGUGCAACAUGGAAAUAAAAAACAGAGUAAAUAAGAGAAACAGAGAAGAAAGCCAAAUGCUAAAUUAGCAAAACAGUUGAAAACAUUUUAUAAAUUGCAAUAUAUUGCAACGCAAUAGUGACAAUAUUGUAAAUUUAAGUAUCGCAAUAAUAUCGUAUUGUGGCCCAAGUAUCGUGAUGAUAUUGUAUCGUAGCCCAAGUAUCGUGAUAAUGUCGUAUCGCGGCCCAAGUAUCGUGAUAACAUCGUAUUGUGCGGCCACUAGUGAUUUCCACCCCUACCACAUGGGGAUCCAAUGUUUGGUUAAAGCUCAUAAGUAGUAGUACUGUCCUCCGCCGUACUUGGAAACUUAAUUUGUUCGGACAACUUUCAGGUAGAGCAGGUGCUCCUGAACGCAGCUAAUUGAUCGAGUUUAAGUUCAUGUCAGUGGCGCCCUGUCCAUCGUCUUCAAUUAUUUUUUCCUGCUUUGCGGCACAGCCAAAGAUAAAUACAUUUCUAACAUGUUCAGAGUGUCGCCGCUGCUCCCCGGGAACCUUUUAGUUAGUUUGAUCAGUUUCAGGGCACGGGAGUAAAAGUUCCUUGGAUUUCUGUUCAAUGAGGCCUGUUUUUAAAAGAUAAAAGCACCUGUUUUCUCUUAAAAAAACCCACCCAAGCCAAAAUGUGGUAAACUGGCAGGUUAUUUCUUACAACUUAUCACUGUUUUGAAGAUGUUGCCAACAUCCUCAAAGACUCCCUAUCCUGCCAAAAUCAGAAUUAUUCAGUCCAGUGCAGGAGAUUUCAUCCAGUUUACUCAGACAACUUCAUUCCUUCAAAUUAAGAUGCCAGUGGGAAGACACUCUCAUCCCUGUCUAAUUUUAUAUGACGCCUCAUCCAGAAUUAACGCUUAUUUCUUUAACCUGCUUGUAAAUAUAAAAGGUGCUCUGAUGGAUGAUUGAGAAAGAAAUGGAAGAAAGCAAAGAAAGCUUUUCAAAUGAUUCAAGACCAAGAGCAGCAAAUACUCUUAUAAGUGAGGCCGUGCCCGAACCGCUUCAUUCCUGCUGCUCCUCCUUUAACGUAAGUAUUGUGAAGUUCUGCAAGAGCCUUCGAAACAUCCAAAAUAAGAAAAAAAAAGAAAGGUAAAACACACAUACUUUCACCUCCUUCAGUGAUGAAUCGGUUGAUGAAGAAUCCAGGCUAAUAGGCUAAUUAUCACUAAGAAACAAAUCAGGUAUGAGACAAAUGAUAGUCAUUUAACAGCGUUGGAUGUUUGAGCGAAACAGCGAGUAGUAGCCCGUAAUGAGAUGAGGUGGGUGUAGCGGAAGUGUGUCGGUGUGUGUGUACGGUUGUGUGUGUGUCAGUCAGGGGUGCAAGCAAGCAGCAGCGAGCAGAGCGGAUACAAGCUGCACACAAUUAACAGAAACAUAAAUAUCUCACCGUGCUUAAGCAAGCCAUUAAUCAGAUAUAAAUAGAGCAAAGGAGCCCUUUGUGAUUAACGAGGUGAGACUCGCUGAUAAUUACGGUUUCCCGCUCCUCUGGUAAUUAGCUUACUCAUUGAAUGGGGAUGAACGAGACUACCCUGACACCCCCCACCCCAACACACACACACACACAUACACACACGCACACACACCCUUCAAUUGUUCUGUUUUGCUCCCCGCUCUUCUGUCUGAUUGUAGCAGGAGGUGCGAGUGUUUAUGGGCUCCUGUCUCUCUUAUCAUUGUGAAGCAUUGUUUUGAGAGUAAUUGUAAUCAGAUAACAAGGUGAGACAUGGACCUUCUCUUAUCUGCAUGUGAAAUCCCGUCAUUUUUAAUCAAAUCGGGAAGUCUCAAGAGGCAGGGGCACCCUUGGCCCCCCUCACUGAUACGGCCCUGAACUUGAAUUUCUUCAAGUGCAAAGAAGAGCGACGUAAAUAAUUAAUUUUUGAUAAAAAGCAUGAUUUACACCCCGGCUAAUAUUGAAUCAGGUGGUUAUUUUCCCCAAUUUUGUUUUAUUUCAUCAGGUGAGUUGUCUCCAUGUAAACCCAAAUAACCUCAAUAUUCUGAAUUUGUUAUCAAACAUAAACACGUCGCUGAAGUUUUGAGCAUUCAGAAUCGUUACUUGUUCAUGUUUGGAGACUAAAGGUAAUAAUUCACAUCCUAAAGCCUGUCGAAUACUUAAUUUAUCUGGAUGUUAAGGCAGUUAUUAAAUUCAUUUUGUCAUUUUUUUAUUCGCUUACUUAUUUGUUGUUAAAAUUAUUGCAUUUUUAAAUAUUAAUAACACAUCUGUAAUAUGCCAAUAACCACAAGUCAACUCUUAACUUCAUGUGAUAUUUGGAGUAAAAACAUGCUUUUAAAGCCAAUGUUAAAAUAUAAUUAUGUUUUAUUUGUUUCAUGGUCAUCACAUUUUAAGUUCUUCAGAUCAUGUUCCAGCUGAGGGAGGAAUAAUUCAGACAGCAAGUCAGCGUUGGGAACCGGACCUGGACCAAGCAAGAACCUAAGGCCAUGUUCACACUGCAGGUCAAUUCCGAUUUUUUAACCAUAUGUGACACAUAUCUGAUUUUUCAUGUAAGUGUGAACAGUGCAAUUCUGAUUUUUCAAAUCCGACCCAGGCCUCUUUUGUAUGUGGAUAUAAAUCGGACAUGUAUCCAAUAUGACUGCAGUGUGGACGCUCAGGUCGCGUUCGUCCGACCUAAACGUCAUCAAUAUGCAACAAAAGUCACCAUUGUUCGACAACACAAAAAGGCGCAGAAAGCAAUUUGUGCUUUGAUAAGAUGCCGCAUUCGUUGUUGUAAUGUGAACAACCGCACAAAAAGAUCGGAUUUAACAAAAAAUCCGACUUGUGCAUCAUAACCUGCAGCAUUAACGUCGCCUAAGAUUACACAUGCGGCUCAAAACAUGGGUCACAACAAGAACCCAGUAUCUCUGGCAUGGUCAAGUUCAGUGUCAAUUCAACUAAAUGUUACACCGAUAAAUAAACUUUUUUUCUAUUUAAGUUAUUCAUAUAUUUUUGAAUAAUUCAUAAAAUGAGAAACUAGCCAACGUAAUGGUCAUGUUCAUGUAAUGUUUCCUUUCAUUUGUGGAUAGAAAUCAGAUCUCCACCGGUAAACCUGAACUCAGCCUGAGAGUUUGCAGAGACACAGGCAAAAAGAUUGUACUACUCGACUGUAAUGUUUGCUCCACUCAUGCUUUCUGCUUUAUGAGUACAGGAAAAAUGACCACUUUAAUGGAUACUCAUCACAGCGGCUCUGGUCUUUGUCCAGGUCUCACCCUCUGACUAAAGAGAAGCUUAACUCCCUCAGCUCACACUCUGAACCCCAGUGAAACACAAACGUAAUCCAUUACUACACACUUACAACAAUUUUCUUCAGCUGGAAGUGGCUAUGACCUUUUUAUGGAAAAUGAAAAUAAGUGAAGGCGCAGAACAGCCGAUAUUGGAUUCUGUUGUUAAUUAAUGUGUGUAUUAUCCGGCUGGAUGAAGCCAGGGGGGAGGAAGUUAAUUGAAUUAUAGUCAGCGAGUUGGAUAAUGCACUGUUGUAAUUGUUCAACUGUCUAAGACAGUGCUCACAUUAGGAAGACGAAAGGCCGGACUGAUUAGCUUCGAGAGAAUGGUAAGAAAUUACUUGUUUGGAUUUUGGGUUUGAGGCAUGAAUGGGUUUCUAAUUUAACUCUUGGAAGCGCAUACUGGAUGAUACACAGAUGAAAAUUAACAAAGCUAUCCAAUCUUGAAGUUAUAAGGCCUUGACAUCAGGCUCAAAAGCCCAGGAACGAACAAACUUUUGACUUUUGAAGGAUUUUUAUUCUCACCAGGCCGUAUGUCAACUAUCUGGUCUAACUCAGACGAGUGAUAUUUCCCCUAGUGUUUGCUGUUUUCUUAUUUACCUUAAAUUUACAGGUUCAGCAUGAGGCAAAUUAGUGAAUAACCCUCAUUUUUGGUUUAAGAAAAAAUCUUUUCCUGUAAGAAUCCGUAUCAGAAAUAAAAGAUGUUGAACAGGAUUAUUUCUGCACCAUGUCAUGAUAUUUCUGCCAGGUUUCAGAACCUGAGAAAAAUCUAUUUUCUUUCUAAGGGAUGUGCUGCCAUCUUGUGGCAGUUUGGGCUCAAAGAAGAAAAAAAGUCUAUGCAAAACACAAGAGAGAAAAAGAAUAACAUUUCAGGAAUUCUCAGUCUGAUGGAUGGAUUCAGGAGGGAAAGUGUUUAACUCAAAGGUUAAAAAAAAAGCUUUAACUUUUUAUCCUUACAGCAGGUCUGACCAACUGUGUGGAAACUGUGUGGAAACUUACCGAAACUGUAGUGUGGAGGGUGAAUGUAACUGUCGAUGGAGAAAGUUGGAUGAACCCCAGAUCACAGAUCACUCCACACUGGAUGAGAAAAAUGACAUGGUUCUGAUACUUCACAGUAAACACCUCCGCUGUGUUCAUGCAGGAGGAGUGGGAGGAGAUGGUGUCGACCGUGGCCCACAUGCUGUCCUUCACCUUCAUGUGUAAGAGGCCAUCCUCUCACCAAACAGCCUGCACUGAAGAAGAAGAAGAAAAUGAAGAAGAAGAA